rnacentral:rRNA from 1 species
ACAAGCCAAAAUAAGGUGAAACCGCGAAAGGCUCAUUAAAUCAGUUAUGGUUCCUUAGAUGGUACCAACAUUUACUUGGAUAACUGUGGUAAUUCUAGAGCUAAUACAUGCAAACAGAGCUUCGACCGGAGACGGAAGAGGCGCUUUUAUUAGAUCAAAACCAAUCGGCGGCGGGUUCGCUUGCGGGCUCGUCGUCGUUUUCGCUGACGAAUCUGAAUAACUUUCUGCUGAUCGCACGGUCUUGCACCGGCGACGCAUCUUUCAAAUGUCUGCCUUAUCAACUGUCGAUGGUAGGUUCUGUGCCUACCAUGGUUGUAACGGGUAACGGGGAAUCAGGGUUCGAUUCCGGAGAGGGAGCCUAAGAAACGGCUACCACAUCCAAGGAAGGCAGCAGGCGCGCAAAUUACCCACUCCCGGCACGGGGAGGUAGUGACGAAAAAUAACGAUACGGGACUCAUCCGAGGCCCCGUAAUCGGAAUGAGAACAAUUUAAAUCCUUUAACGAGGAUCAAUUGGAGGGCAAGUCUGGUGCCAGCAGCCGCGGUAAUUCCAGCUCCAAUAGCGUAUAUUAAAGUUGUUGCGGUUAAAAAGCUCGUAGUCGAAUCUGUGUCCCGCGCCGCCGGUUCGUCGCUCGCGGCGUUUAACUGGCGUGUCCGCGGGACGUCCUGCCGGUGGGCUUAGCCUUUUCAUUAAGGCGGCCCAAUCUUAAUCCCGCCGCGGUGCUCUUCACCGAGUGUCGAGGCGGGCCGGCACGUUUACUUUGAACAAAUUAGAGUGCUUAAAGCAGGCUAAAACUUCGCCUGAAUACUUCGUGCAUGGAAUAAUGGAAUAGGACCUCGGUUCUAUUUUGUUGGUUUUCGGAACCCCGAGGUAAUGAUUAAUAGGAACGGAUGGGGGCAUUCGUAUUGCGACGUUAGAGGUGAAAUUCUUGGACCGUCGCAAGACGGACUUAAGCGAAAGCAUUUGCCAAAAACGCUUUCAUCGAUCAAGAACGAAAGUUAGAGGUUCGAAGGCGAUCAGAUACCGCCCUAGUUCUAACCAUAAACUAUGCCAGCUAGCGAUCCGCCGAAGUUACUUCUAUGACUCGGCGGGCAGCUUCCGGGAAACCAAAGCUUUCGGGUUCCGGGGGAAGUAUGGUUGCAAAGCUGAAACUUAAAGGAAUUGACGGAAGGGCACCACCAGGAGUGGAGCCUGCGGCUUAAUUUGACUCAACACGGGAAACCUCACCAGGCCCGGACACCGGAAGGAUUGACAGAUUGAGAGCUCUUUCUUGAUUCGGUGGGUGGUGGUGCAUGGCCGUUCUUAGUUGGUGGAGCGAUUUGUCUGGUUAAUUCCGAUAACGAACGA